GACGAACGCUGGCGGCGUGCUUAACACAUGCAAGUCGAACGGUAAGGCCCUUCGGGUACACGAGUGGCGAACGGGUGAGUAACACGUGGUGAUCUGCCCUGCACUUCGGGAUAAGCCUGGGAAACUGGGUCUAAUACCGGAUAGGACCAUGGACUUCACGGUUUGUGGUGGAAAGCUUUUGCGGUGUGGGAUGGGCCCGCGGCCUAUCAGCUUGUUGGUGGGGUAAUGGCCUACCAAGGCGACGACGGGUAGCCGGCCUGAGAGGGUGUCCGGCCACACUGGGACUGAGAUACGGCCCAGACUCCUACGGGAGGCAGCAGUGGGGAAUAUUGCACAAUGGGCGCAAGCCUGAUGCAGCGACGCCGCGUGAGGGAUGACGGCCUUC
rnacentral:rRNA from 1 species